rnacentral:lncRNA from 1 species
AGAGAUUGACGGCGAAAGCGGAGUCCUCGCUGUCAUGAACCUCAUACAUGCCAUCCCCGAUCUUAAUAACCAAAAAACCCGAGCCCUUCUCAUAGUUCUCAAUAACCAUGUCAUUCACCUUAGGUGGUAAGAUGUUAUCCUCAACCCUAGCUGCUUCUCUGCGUAGAGCGAACCAUGUCACUAAGGUUGUACGAAUUGUCUCCAAAAUAGAGAUCACCGGGUAGUCCCGAGCCAUAGUAAGGACGUUAUUCAAGGNNN